rnacentral:tRNA from 1 species
CGGGACGUGGCGCAGCUUGGUAGCGCACCCCGUUUGGGACGGGGGGGGCGCAGGUUCAAAUCCUGUCGUCCCGACCA